CCGUAGUGGCGGACGGGUGAGUAACGCGUGGGUAACCUGCCUCAUACAGGGGGAUAACGGUUAGAAAUGACUGCUAAUACCGCAUAAGCGCACAGUUCCGCAUGGAACGGUGUGAAAAACUCCGGUGGUGUGAGAUGGACCCGCGUCUGAUUAGCCAGUUGGCGGGGUAACGGCCCACCAAAGCGACGAUCAGUAGCCGGCCUGAGAGGGUGAACGGCCACAUUGGGACUGAGACACGGCCCAA
rnacentral:rRNA from 1 species